rnacentral:rRNA from 1 species
GACGAACGCUGGCGGCGUGCUUAACACAUGCAAGUCGAACGGAAAGGCCCUGCUUGCAGGGUACUCGAGUGGCGAACGGGUGAGUAACACGUGGGUGAUCUGCCCUGCACUUCGGGAUAAGCCUGGGAAACUGGGUCUAAUACCGGAUAGGAGCCAUUUUUAGUGUGAUGGUUGGAAAGUUUUUUCGGUUUAUGAUGAGCUCGCGGGCUAUCGGCUUGUUGGUGGGGUAAUGGCCUACCAAGGCGGCGACGGGUAGCCGGCCUGAGAGGGUGGACGGCCACAUAGGGACUGAGGUACGGCCCAGACUGCUACGGGAGGCAGCAGGGGGGAAUAUUGCACAAUGGGCGCAAGGCGGAUGCAGCGACGCCGCGGAGGGGAUGACGGCCUUCGGGGUGUAAACUCCUUUCGCUAGGGACGAAGCUUUUCGUGACGGUACCUAGAUAAGAAGCACCGGCUAACUACGUG